rnacentral:rRNA from 1 species
GUGUCAGCCGCCGCGGUAACCCCAGCGCCACAAGUGGGAGCCACAAUUAUUUGGCCUAAAGCGUCCGUAGCUGGCUUAGUAAAUCUUUUGUGAAAUCGGAAAGCUCAACUUUUCGGCGUGCAGAAGACACUGCUAUGCUUGAGACCGGGAGGGGUAAGGAGUAUUUCUAGGGAACCGGUAAAAUGGGAUAAUCCUAGAAAGACUACCUGUGGCGAAGGCGCCUUACCAGCACGGGUCUGACAGUGAGGGACGAAGGCUAGGGGAGCGAACCGGAUUAGAAACCCUGGUAGUCC